rnacentral:rRNA from 1 species
AGCAGCCGCGGUAAUUCCAGCUCCAAUAGCGUAUAUUAAAGUUGUUGCAGUUAAAAAGCUCGUAGUUGAAUUUCGGGAUCAGUAAGCCGGUCGUACCUUCGGUAUGUACUGGUGUCACUGAUUCCUCCCUUCUGAUGAACCGUUAUACCAUUUAGUUGGUGUGGCGGGGAAUCAGGACUGUUACUUUGAAAAAAUUAGAGUGUUUAAAGCAAGCUCGCGCUUGAAUACAUUAGCAUGGAAUAAUAAAAUAGGACGUUUGAUCUCCUAUUUUGUUGGUUUCUAGGAUCGACGUAAUGAUUAAUAGGGAUAGUUGGGGGCAUUAGUAUUCAAUUGUCAGAGGUGAAAUUCUUGGAUUUAUUGAAGACUAACUACUGCGAAAGCAUUUGCCAAGGAUGUUUU